UGGUAACAGGGAGGAAGGGGGGGAUGAUGUCAGGUCAGUAUUUCCCUNACAUNUGGGGNUACAAACACGCUACAAUGGCCGGUACAAAGGGCAGCCAAGUCGCAAGACGGAGCAAAUCCCAUCAAAGCCGGUCUCAGUUCGGAUUGCAGGNUGAAACUCGCCUGCAUGAAGCUGGAAUCGCUAGUAACGGUAGGUCAGCUAUACUACCGCGAAUACGUUUCCCGGGCCUUGUACACACCGCCCGUCACAUCACGAAAGUUGUCUG
rnacentral:rRNA from 1 species